GAGAGAGAGAGAGAGAGAGAGAGAGAGAGAGAGAGAGAGUUGAGCUGGAAUACUAUGAAUAGUUUUUGGGUUCUUUUGCUAUCGAUUUUUUAGCCGUUAGAUCUACACUUUAAUCAAUUAUAUCAUUUAAAUCAUACUAUUCAACCACCCAACCACUCAACGCUAGGGGGGCCACCACUAAACUCUAGGGUACCGUUUGGUUCAGGGAUAAGUAAGGACUAGCUGUUUUAGGGAUAGGUACAAGUAUGAGGAUUAGAGUAAUUUUGUGUUUGGAUAAAAAUAGAUAUAAGGAUAGGUAUAAGGAGGGAUAGGAGAAAAAGUGUUUGGAUGGUAUUUGGGGAUAAGAGGAUAGUGGAUUGGUAAAAGUAUAAAAUUACCAAAUUACCCCUACUGAGAAAAAGAGAAUGGUGAGUGGCAGGAUUGAUAAGUUUUAUUAUUUUAAAUUCAUAUGUACAUUAAAUAAUGCGAAUAUUUUUUACCCAUUAUUUUUUAACCAAUACAAUAAUAAAAAUAUCA
rnacentral:lncRNA from 1 species